AGGUAGUUAGUCCAAAAAAGACCUUUGAUUUCGGCUCAAAAAAUCAUGGUUAAACUCCAUGACCGCCUU
rnacentral:tRNA from 1 species